GCCGCUUUAGCUCAGUUGGUAGAGCACAUCAUCCGUAUUGAUGGGGCCAAGUGUUCGAGUCACCUAAGCGACACCA
rnacentral:tRNA from 1 species